GCAGAGCACCUCUGUUCUGUUCUGUUCACUCCCCUCCCAAACACGACCACCGCCGCUGCACUUCUCCUCCCUCCAAACGUCUCCACCCCAACCGCGCGAUUGGAUCCGCCAUUCCGAGUUCGGCUCGGUUCUUCUGUUCUUCUCGCAGACCCAUUGGUUGCUGCGUUUUUUUGUUGUUGUUGCACCUGUUGCAGUUUCUCUAGCGCUUCCUUUUUCCUUCCAUUUCUGAUCUUUUUUGUAAAUUCCAAAUUUCUCUUGGUGUGAUUAAUGUCUGCGGAUUUCUUGGUGUCAAGAUCCGACCCCCGCAGGAAACCCCUCAUAAAUCGCGGGGAUUUCGAUUGAGUUCUCCAAUCUUUUCUUCUGUUCUUGCUGCGUUUUUUUGUUGUUGCACCUGUUGCAGUUUCUAUAGCGCUUCCUUUUCCUGCCAUUCCUGACCCUUUUCUUGGUCCAUCUUUUCCUUCCAUUUCUGAUCUUUUUUGCAAAUUCCAAAUUUCUCUUGGUGUGAUUAAUGUCUGCGGAUUUCUUGGUGUCAAGAUCCGAACCCCGCAGGAAACCCCUCAUAAAUCGCGGGGAUUUCGAUUGAGUUCUCCAAUCUUUUCUUCAUCCUGGCCCAAAGAUCGCAGCUUUUCUGGGGUUGAAGCGGGAACGACCGGAGCCUUCACCGGAGAUGGCGUCGCCGUACGCCACCUCGCCGUACGUGCUGUCCCUCCUGCUGCUGCUCUCCAUCCCGGCAGUCUUCCUCCUCGCGCCGCGCCUCAUCCCGCCCAAGACGUUCCCGACCAUUCCUGACGCCGACGAGACGGAGGACCUCGCGCUCUUCCGCCGCGCCGUGCUCCUAUCCGCCGCACCGUCGUCGACCGCCGCCGCAGCGUCGACCACUCCCUCCCUCUUGGGCAAACCCCGGCCGCAGCCCAAGGUGGCGUUCCUCUUCCUCACCAACUCCGACCUCGUCUUCGCCCCGCUCUGGGAGAAGUUCUUCGCCGGCCACAAGAACCUCUUCAACCUCUACGUCCACGCCGACCCCUCCGCCGUGCUAACGCUCCCCGCGACGCCCUCCUUCAGCGGCCGCAUCAUCCCUGGCAAGGCCACCCAGCGCGCCUCCGCCACGCUCAUCUCCGCCGCGCGCCGCCUCCUCGCCGCCGCGCUCCUUGACGACCCGGCCAACCACUUCUUCGCGCUGCUCUCCCAGUCCUGCAUCCCGCUUCACCCCUUCCCGACCUUCUAUCGCACGCUCUUCUCCGACAAUGCCGGGCCGCGCCGCCGCCGCCGCAGCUUCAUCGAGAUCCUGGACGACGAGCCCACGCUGCAUGACCGCUACUACGCGCGCGGCGACGACGUGAUGCUCCCGGAGGUUCCCUACGAGCGCUUCCGCGUCGGCUCGCAGUUCUUCGUGCUCACCAGGAGGCACGCCAUCAUGGUGGUCAGAGACAGGAGGCUCUGGAACAAGUUCAAGCUGCCGUGCCUGGUGAAGAGGAAGUACUCGUGCUACCCGGAGGAGCACUACUUCCCAACGCUGCUGGACAUGCAGGACCCCGACGGAUGCUCCAAGUUCACGCUGACGAGGGUCAACUGGACUGACUCCGUCACCGGCCACCCGCACACGUACCAGCCAGAGGAGGUGUCCAGCGAUCUCAUCAGGGAACUCAGGAAGUCCAAUGGGACUUACACUCAUAUGUUUGCACGCAAGUUUGCACCCGAGUGCCUUGGGCCAUUGAUGGAGAUUGCUGACUCCGUCAUCCUGCGGGACUAAGCUGGGCGCAGAGCUGAAAGCGCCGAGAAAACUUCAUCCAUGGUUCUCUGGCCGUCCAUCUUCUUCUUCCUGAAGCUUGAUACAUUCCCAUCAUGCCACCAUCUUCUCCAGUUUGCUCAGUAUUACAUGGAAACUCUCCAGAUCCCGUGUAUUGCACAGAAUUGCCCAGUUCUUGAGCAUGGGCAUCACACACUGACAAACCUGAAGCACACCUCCAAAUCCCAUUCUAAAAGCAAAAGUUGUUUCUUAGUUUCCACAGCCCCGCAGGGCUGCAGAGGUUUGUGAUGUGAUGAAAAGCGCAAGCUGAUCCAUCCAUUCCCUUUCAAAUCCUUUGGAGAUGAUCAACCAGCACCAAACCUACUUUGCUUUGUUCCUGCAAUUACUCUUGGCAAAAGAUGGUGCCACUCCUCAGAGAGUAUGAUGGUGGUGUUGGUGGCGAAGGGCCCCAGCUGCCUCUUGUGAGUAUUUUUUGUGUUUCUUGAUGUUGCUUUCUUUCCAAUUCGAGCUGAGUGGUGGCAGAAGAUGAGGGAGAAGUUGUUGGCACGUAAUGGGUGGUAAUUAGCAUGAUCAUCCUAUGUAUUAGCAUGGAGACAAUCUAUCGAUACAUGCAGUGAUGGUUUGUAGUAUCUGUUAUAUAUAUAUAUAUAUACAUGUCAGUAUCA